rnacentral:lncRNA from 1 species
CAUUCAGAGCACAUCACAAUAAAGAUGUGAUAAGGAAAAGAGAGAGAGGAGGCAGGAGGAUUGAAUAGAAUAGCCCCAGAUUGUAACGCAACUCUGAGAAAUUUUUUUUCUUUUUUUCUCCUAGGCUGUUGGGAGGCUCAGGACAAAAAUUUACUAUUAGUGUCCAGCACUGAGCAGAAAUGACUCAACUCUAGUAUUCCUGCUGUGCCCAGUCAUUCACUAGGAGCAGCCCAGAGUCAGCAGGACCUUGAUGUUGAUACUGAAGCAGAUCCUAAGGAAUUUGGAAUCUACCACGUCAUGAGUAGCCAUAUUCAGAGCUCACAUGAUGAGAGACAUAUAUCCCAUCAAUAGGCAACUAGGACUUGUGUCCUACCAACAGCUACGAGCUUGAGCUUGGAAGAAGACUAUCCCUCGACUGAGCCUUCAGAUGACGCAACCCUAAAUGACACCUUGAUAGUAGCCUUGUGAGAAGCCCUGAGUCAGAGCUCAACCAGUUACCUGAAACUCUGAUUCUUAAC